AAGUGAUAAAGGCACACCCAUUGAAAAGUGGGGUCGCAAAGCUACAGGGGCUUCAGUGUGAUAAACACUAUGCCAGCCAGUUACCGAA
rnacentral:ncRNA from 1 species